UACGUAGGGUGCAAGCGUUAAUCGGAAUUACUGGGCGUAAAGCGUGUGCAGGCGGCUUUGCAAGUCAGAUGUGAAAUCCCCGGGCUUAACCUGGGAACUGCAUUUGUGACUGCAUGGCUGGAGUGCGGCAGAGGGGGAUGGAAUUCCGCGUGUAGCAGUGAAAUGCGUAGAUAUGCGGAGGAACACCGAUGGCGAAGGCAAUCCCCUGGGCCUGCACUGACGCUCAUGCACGAAAGCGUGGGGAGCAAACAGG
rnacentral:rRNA from 1 species